CUAAAUACUAAUGACUGCCAAAAGUUGGUCUGUCCUUUCAGCAGAAGAAGCUGAACCAAAAAUGAUUUUCUGGCAUUUUUACAAUCAGAACACAUUUGAGAACUUUG